AAAGUAAUACUAGAUAUAUUAUUUCUUGUAAUGCAAAGUCACGUGAUAAUAGUCAACGGUUUUUCAUAACGCAAUUACUGGAAUGAUCGAAAUUGCUACUUUACUUCAGUAUGAUAAUUUACUUUUUACAAUGAAUAUAAUCAACAAAUAAUACCUGAUCGAUAUAUAGCACUUGAUUUUCAAUAGAAGUUGUUACAAGAAUUUGGAAAGACUGAUAAAUAACGAAUAAUCCUCGAAUUAAAGAUAUACGUAUCCGUUUCCCGCGAUUUUGAAGAUGACGCAGCACGCAGGCAAAGAGGUGGUAUAAUACGUAGGGACCGGCUGAAUCGAUUAUCGAUUAGUACGAUCAGUCAAUGGAGGAAUAAUAGUGGUUAGUAUCGUUUAAUGAAUUUCAUCUCAGAAAUUAUUUAUAAAGUGGUACCAGGUAUAUUGUUUCUUGUAUAUACGUAUAAUUAUCUCAGAUUACACUUGAAUUAGGUUGUUGCAUAGGUUUUGUUCUAAAAAAUUGAUUGGUUUCUCGUGAAGAAUGUCUGUGACUUUUUGACAGCUGUAAUGGUGUUUUACCAUUUUUAUCACAAGGUUCUAAUUCAAUUUUACUUUUUUCACACAAUAUUUUAAUGCAACUGACAUUGCCAGAAAGAUAUGCUAAGUGCAGUGGAGUAGAUCCAAAGUAAACUGGCUUUUGUAAAUCUACUCCACUAUACAUGAGUAAUUUUAUUAGUUCUGCAUAACCCUUAUAUGCAACCCAAUGAAGGGCACUAUCACUAUUUGUAUCUGUUAAAUGUCCUAAUGCACCGGACCCUAAUAAAAAUGCUGCUUUCCAAACAUACAAGUGGUCAUUAAAGGAGUUAGGCCUUUAAAAUCUGCUGCAUUAAGGCAACAUUUGCCUAGAAUAAAUAAGAAAAAGAUAAUCAAAUUGUAAUUUUAUAUGCAAUUGUAAUUUUACUUAUUUUCAAUACCUUUAAUAAUAAUUGAACUAUCCCACUAUGACCUUUCCAACAAGUCCAAUGUAUCGGUCUUGGUCCUUGAGUUCCAAGACAAGAAAGAUCAACUGGUUUAUUAUUAAGUAUCUCAUUACCUAUUGCAUAUAGGUUUUUAUUUAUAAAUAAAAACGUAGCUUUUUCAUUGUAAUUGGUGUAUGAAUUUCAGAAAGUUAAUUAUACAAACUAACUUUAAUGUUUUCAUCCAGAGUAGCUCAACGGGCUGGGGUAUAUCCCCAUUCAACCUUUGCGUUUAAUACACUUCAACUAUUCUUUUCUACUAACUCAUUUUAAACAUUACAUUGUUUAAUAUUUCUUUAGCUUAGUUCACUGUUAAUACAAACAAUAUUAGGAUAACAAGUCUAUUCCAAAAUAUUCCCAACAAAUAUGGUAGGAGACAAUUUGUCUUAAUCAGGGACAAAGAGGUUAACCGAGGAAAAGGAAGUUGAUUGUGGUUCAAAGGCAAGAUGUAGUUUAAUUAAGAGUGCAGCGGGAAAGUACCAAGAUGUCAACGAGUCUUUAAACGUGUUUUGGUUGUGAAUUGGAACGUCCGCCUUACCAAUUAACCCACUUUCGAUUGAUCAACAAUUUUUAUUGAUUUAACGAAUGGAAACGUACAAUUCAUAUCGAGUGUACAACAAGGAUCUUGUGAUAGGUGUUGAAAACGAAAUACAGAACAAUUAUGUGAUUUUUAAUAAAAAAUGUAUCUGCUGUAUUAUCACCGUAAUUAUAAUACAAUGUUACAUGCCAUAAUUAACAGUCGAUACAGUAACGAAUUGUAUCUACACCGCUGAAUUAUCCGCCUAGGGUUACAAUAAAAAUUAACACGAUAAUUAUUUACGAUUAAAUAAAGAAAAAACAGUCUUUCGAGGUAUAGCGACUUAAUUACAACUGCGACGUGAUUAAUGCACGCAUAGUACACGAACUUAGUCUAAUUAGCGCUACGUGAGAAAUUAAAUGAAAAGGAAAGAAUACUGAUUAUCUAAGAAUAGUAACUCACGAAAUGCCCCAAACGCUAUACAAGCCUAUGAAAUCAUUGUAUCGCGUCUCGAUUAUGUGAAAAUCGUAUCUUAAUUAAUAAUUAAAUUAAGUGUACCAGACCUAUGUCAAUUAGUAAUACGGCAAUGUUCUUCUUACAAUAUUUUUUAGUUUUUACUAUUUUUUUUUGUGAAACAGUUCACCGGCAGAUAGUGUUAAUACCCAAUAAAAAUUGGGACAAAUAUCAUUCCAAUAUGACUCUGAGUAUCCAAUUACAGUCUCCGUUGAAAUUUUCCGACAAACGCAGUGAUUGCAGGCCGGUAUUAUCUCAUUUUAGAAACUAACCACGAUGAUUACGAUUCAAUUGACGUUAAAUAGUUGAUGGUACGAUUAAUCACCUGUUACAUCGAACUUACGUAUCCAUUUUUUUUUUUUUUUACCACGUAAGCUUAAAA